rnacentral:misc_RNA from 1 species
GGAAGUAAAAUCGUAACAAGGUCUCCGUAGGUGAACCUGCGGAGGGAUCAUUACAGAGUUCAUGCCCUACCGGGUAGAUCUCCCACCCUAUGUUAUUAUUACUUUGUUGCUUUGGCGGGCCGUUAGGCUCCGGCCCGACUACCGGCCCCGGCUGGUAAGCGCCCGCCAGAGGUCCCAAAACCCUGAAUAUUAGUGUCGUCUGAGUACUAUAUAAUAGUUAAAACUUUCAACAACGGAUCUCUUGGUUCUG